rnacentral:rRNA from 1 species
UACAGAGGUCUCAAGCGUUGUCCGGAAUCAUUGGGCGUAAAGCGCGUGUAGGCGGCUUGGUAAGUCUGCUGUAAAAGUCCAGGGCUCAACCCUGGAACGCCGGUGGAUACUGCCAAGCUAGAGUACGGAAGAGGCGAGUGGAAUUCCCGGUGUAGCGGUGAAAUGCGCAGAUAUCGGGAGGAACACCAAUGGCGAAGGCAGCUCGCUGGGACGUUACUGACGCUGAGACGCGAAAGCGUGGGGAUCAAACAGG